GGUAGUGCGAUUUGUGGCAAACCACCGGGCGGCACACUUAAACCGCCCGGCGGUGGCUCGCUGGACUUGGGCCCAUUUUCUGAUGCGCUCCUCACCUAUAUAUACCCCUAUUGCGAGUUCAGAAUCAUUCUUUUGACAGGGGAGAACGGCCAAACCUAAUUUUGCUCUCUGGAGAGGAUCUCUUGGAUGCUUAGGCUCCUUUUCAUCUUUUCUAGGGUUUGCUUUUCCAUUCUUCUACCAUUUUUCAUCUAGUUACACCAUGUCUAUGGUGAACUAAACCCUAUUGUUGUUGGGGGAAACAAUGUAAUCUUUUGAUGCUCUCUCUUAUUAAAACUCUUGAUUAUUUAUAUGGUCUCCAUAUGUGUUGAUUGAUUAUAGUUGGGUUAUCAUCUAUGCUUAAGGCCUUUAUCGUUUAACUCAUUCGAUAACUGAUGUUUGUCUUUAUUGAUAUGGGGACGUACAGUAAUGACAUGAACUGGUGAGUAAUUUCUUGAUUUUGCAAUACCACCUAGGGAUAGGGGUAGGACAAUCAAUUGCGCUAACUUCUGUUUAUAAUG
rnacentral:lncRNA from 1 species